UACGGAGGGUGCAAGCGUUAUCCGGAUUCACUGGGUUUAAAGGGUGCGUAGGCGGACUGAUAAGUCAGUGGUGAAAUCUCUCAGCUUAACUGAGAAACUGCCAUUGAUACUGUUAGUCUAGAGUAUAGAUGACGUUGGCGGAAUAUGACAUGUAGUGGUGAAAUACUUAGAUAUGUCAUAGAACACCGAUUGCGAAGGCAGCUAACGAAACUAUAACUGACGCUGAGGCACGAAAGUGCGGGGAUCAAACAGG
rnacentral:rRNA from 1 species